rnacentral:rRNA from 1 species
GACGAACGCUGGCGGCGCUCCUAACACAUGCAAGUCGAGCGAUGAAAGUUGCUCAGAUCCUUCGGGUGACGAACUUCUGGAUUAGCGGCGAACGGGUGAGUAACGCGUGAGGAACCUGCCUCUCACAACGGGAUAGCCUCGGGAAACCGGGAUUAAUACCGUAUGACACUAUCAGAUGGCAUCAUCAGGUAUUUAAAGUGCUACCGCUAACAGAUGGCCUCGCGUCUGAUUAGUUAGUUGGUGGGGUAACGGCCUACCAAGACGACGAUCGGUAACCGGCCUGAGAGGGUGAACGGUCACAUUGGAACUGAGACACGGUCCAAACUCCGACGGUAGGCGGCAGUGGGCAAUCUUGCACUAUGGGCGAAACCCUGAUGCAGCGACUCCUUGAGAGCGAUGAAGGUUUUCGAAUCGUAAAGGUCUGUCCUAUGGGAAGAUAAUGACGGUACCAUACGAGGAAGCCCCGGCUAACUACGUGCCACGCAGCCGCGGUAGAUACAAGGGGGCGAGAGUUGUCUCGAAUUACUGGGCGUAAAGGGUUCGCAGGCGGCAUGACAAGUCCGAUGUAAAAGGCGAAAGCUCAACUUUCGUAAGCAUCGGAAACUGUCAAGCUUGAGUGAAGGAGAGGUAAGUGGAAUUCCUAGUGUGGCGGUGGAAUGCGUAGAUAUUAGGAGGAAUACCGGUGGCGAAGGCGACUUGCUGGACUUCAACUGACGCUGAGGAACGAAAGCGUGGGUAGCAAACAGGAUUAGAUACCCUGGUAGUCCACGCCGUAAACGAUGAGUGCUAGGUGUCGGGGGUCAAACCUCGGUGCCGUCGUUAACACACUAAGCACUCCGCCUGGGGAGUACGUGCGCAAGCAUGAAACUCAAAGGAAUUGACGGGGACCCGCACAAGCAGCGGAGCAUGUGGUUUAAUCCGAAGCAACGCGAAGAACCUUACCAGGACUUGAAAUACUAGUGCCCACUUUAGAGAUAAAGUUUUUUCUUCGGAAACGCUAAUACAGGUGGUGCAUGGUUGUCGUCAGCUCGUGUCGUGAGAUGUUGGGUUAAGUCCCGCAACGAGCGCAACCCUUACUUCUAGUUGCCAGCACGUAAUGGUGGGACCUCUAGAGGGACUGCCGAUGAUAAAUCGGAGGAAGGGGGGGGUGAAGUCAAAUCAUCACGCCCCCUAUGUCCCGGGCUACACACGUGCCUCAAUGGUCGGUACAGAGGGCAGCGAAAGAGCGAUCCCAAGCGAAUCUCAAAAAACCGAUCCCAGUUCGGAUUGCAGGCUGCAACUCGCCUGCAUGAAGUCGGAGUUGCUAGUAAUCGCAGAUCAGAAUGCUGCGGUGAAUGCGUUCCCGGGUCU